CGGCGCCGCGGACGCCCGUGGAGCCGGGGGCUGAGCCGCUCCGUUGCAUUUCAGGGCGCUGGGGACGUGCAGUACCAGUGCGUGCGCUGCUCCAUCCAGUCUGACGGAGACAGCAUCACCGUGACGGCAGAAUUCGCUCCAAGCGGCUCGCAGCAGUUCUUAAACAGCAGAACUGUGCUGCUGGUCCCUGGAAAAAUCACCUUUGACAGAGAACGCUAUCUGGGCCUGAAAGAAGAGAAUCAUGACGCUGAGAUCACCCUUGUCUUCCUGAAAGACGAAGUGAUUGAUCCCGUGCCUGUAAUCAUAGGAAGCUGCGUGGGUGGACUUCUCUUGCUGGCGUUCAUUGUCCUGCUCCUCUGGAAAUGUGGCUUUUUCAAAAGAAACUAUAAAACUGUGAUGGAGCAAGAAGAUACAUCCUGAAGACUAAGCUGGCCAAAGCAGAAAGCUCUGUAUUCUUUCACCAGCUUUUUAGAAAUAGCAGAGUCAAAAUCUGGCUAAGAUGCAAAAUGAUUCAUAUUCCCUGGUAAAGCUGUGGCACUCCAGAUCUUGGGACUCCCCCAAAUUGCUGUUUUGACCACAGGGACCCAGCUUUUUUGGGCGAUCCAGUUGCCUGCUUGUUAAAUUUGAACUGACUAUUCAUCAUAGAAGGACUGCCUGGUACUGAUAAACUAGACUCCCCAUGAGAAAUUUUGCUUUAAUGUAGAUAUGGUAGGAAAAUUCAUCUUGGAGCCUGUUAGAUUUAUGUAUUGGAUUUCAGUCCUAGUUGCUGUAAUGCUGAGUGGUUUUAAAUUGAUUUUAGUACCGAGUAGCUUCAGAAUAGAUUGAAAUAGAAAUGAUGAAUUAGGGGAAGCUUCCCACCCUGCUGUUACUCAUGAAAAUGGAGAGAGAAGCAUUUUACAUAUACGUAUGUGUAUAUAUAUACAAAUUUGUGCGUUUUAAUACAGUAAAGUAUGUCCCUUGAUGUCUCCUGGAAUCAGAAGCUCAUGCAUCUGGCAAUUAGUUUUUUGCACCUCACAAUCUUAUUUCUGAUUUCCCAUUUUCAGUUGCUUUCAAAUCCUGAUUUGCUCACAAAUGAAAACUUGUAUCACGGACUUCAUUGCCAGUUCAGACAGACCCCUUCUCUGCCAGGAGGUAUUUCCCUAAGUUAGGAUGGUUCACCACGCCUCCUCCGGAGCAGCCGUGUUCGAAUUGAGGGCAGAGCCAAGCAGCGAGCUGCAGUGUCGACCACAGCAGCGUUGCCAUACUCCCUGCUGGAUGCGUGACAGAAAGUAGGGUGACUCAGGAGCAAUCUUGGUUUUUCAGCUGCAGAUUAUCAGUAAUAGCAAUUUAUAGGCUUUGGGGAAAGAAGGUGCCUAGCCAAACCCUGUGGCUGGCUUCACCCAGUACCAGGUGUAUUCUUUCCUGAGCAGUGAAAUGAUCUCAGGACCCCUCAGGUUCUCGCUGUUUUUAAAGAAGGCUGAGUACAGGCGCUUGAUACUAUUCCUCUCUUUCUCUGUCCCUAUAGCGUAGUUGGUUUAUUUCUGUUGUGUUUGGCUAACCAUAAAUCCCACAAAUCUAAUGUGUGUUUACACACAGCAGUAGAUUAAACGUAGAUUUUCAUUCAGACCUUCAGAAGGCAAAAAACCAGUUCCUGUCUCCUUUGGCUUAACCAAUAUUGCCUGAUGGUUAACUAAAGUUAACAAGCAAACUGUGGCCUUCAACAUUCAGGUUCCCAGGCACUGCUAUUAAUACAUCUCUUUAAGGCUGUUACAGGAAUCACCUUUGUGAUGGGCAUCCUGCAGGCUGUACAACCCUGGGUGUGCUCUAGCUCUAAAUUUGGCUGCCGAACAGCCAGAAGUCAAAGGUGCUAAGCACACCAGCCUACCCUCUUAGGACGAAAGCAAGAGGUACCACAGCAAGAUACUCUUUGAGGAAUAUAGGGCCCUUGUGUGACUUUCAACAGUACGAGAGAGGUGCAGAGAUCUCGCGCUGCCAUCCAGCUCAGUCAGCAGCUGCAGCCAUUUUUCCGGCUUGAAUUUCUUUCUCUCUCCCCCCUGGCUGGUUGUGGAGUUCCUUGGAGCUACAUACGUAGAGUGAGUCACUCCAAAUCCGCUUACAAGUGCCAGGGAUUGAGGAAAUGAGACUUCCUAGGUGAGAGCUCAGAAAGGAAAUUACUGCCUGAAUGAAAAAACCAGCUGUGUCAGGCUUUUUGUCAUAACAGCUCUGUACUGUUUGGAAAGAAAUGUGCUUUGCCUGGUCUGAAUGGCUUUACUGUCACACCCCCACCCCCCCCCGCCCCCCGCUUUGUGUAAAUCUUUUUUGGUAGUGUUUUUAAUUGCAUCUUCUUUGAAAAUAAAUUCUUGCAAGAGAAGCCUGUGUAUUGCACUUGUUGGCUGAAGGUGGUUUGAGCAUUUUGCUGUACCCUUUCCCAGGUAGCAUAACAAGUCUCUGGGGCUGCUCUCAAUCACUGAGUCCAGAUUUUGGCAGAACAAGCUUGUUCUUCUUUGCAUGUCCCUGUGUGGAAGGACCUUUAUGAGGAAUUAAGUACCUGGAAAGCAGAAUAUGCUGGUCUGAGAGAGGUCAUGCCUUUGAAGAGCUUCAGGCAAGAGAGCAGCUCCUGUGGAGCAGCUGGGCACAGUACAUAUGUAUACCAGCAGUUGUGGUCUUGCUGCCCAUCCUCACUUCUCCAUUCUCCAGACCUCCAUUUCACACUGAAGUCCUACGUGUUCCGAGGCACCUGGAGAUCUCUACAGGCAGAUCAUACUUGGUCUGUUCUCCCGACCCUGCUAGUUGGGCUGGAGGGGCUUGUUACUCUACCUUUGUCUUGCUCUGCUGGGGAGAGACGACUCUCAGUGCUGCUGGUAGCCCAGGAGAGCAAGAACAGAUGCUUCUUCUCUGCCCAUCAGCCGGUGCUGAUCAUCCGUCCCCAUCCGCUGCCUUAGCUCUGAGUCAUGGCAUGGCUCCGUCGCUCCAGGUUUGGAUAUUGGCUUCUGGUAGGUGAGCUUGGCCUGAUAGAUUUUGGCUAUUUUUGCGGUGAUCUGACCAAGGAGUAGGACGUGUGAAGGUGGGUGGUGGCUGACAAGAGCUGAUGUAUCCGAGAUAGCUUUUUAAUUGUAUCCUUGAAGGGGAGGACAGGAUGCCUUUUGCGAUGCUAUUUUAGUCAGGGGUGAUACCAGCUGCUUAUGCCUUUCUCAUAUGCCAGGGAGAUUUGCAAGCCUUGGGCUAUAAUUCCCUCAGUGUGUUCAGAAGCCAACAGGUUCAUGUAUUGAACUGGGGAGUGUGGUGGCCUGGUGGAUAGCAGGAUUAAGUGAACUGCAAGUCUGCUGCUCAGGAAACCUUAUCAGGAAAAGGGCAUAAGUAGUUCUUCAUUAUUAAGUGCCGGCUGCUGACGUAAGAGCAUCAGAUAGGAGCCAUGAAGUGCUCUGCAGAGAGCCUGUUGGGGCAGCUUUAUUUGGAGACUAAUUGGAUUGCAGCUCAAAAGAGACAUUUCCUGUGUCUUAUUAUAACAGGAUGAACGAUCUGGAAUGGAGCAGCGCUGCUGCAAGCAGGGUGCUCCGACUCUCCGCCAGCUUGGCUAAACCGGCUCCUGUGCUGUCUGCGCAGCGCAGCUGGGACGCGCCAGCCUCUCGGUGGGGGUAACUGGCUUGGAGCACGGCCAGCCUGCGGCGCGAAGGCAGGGGCAGGUCCCAGGCUGAGGUUAAUCGUGAAACCUUUUCCUCUAGGGGUCACGUCUGAGCAGCACGGAUGUUUUCCUAUGGCUGGAAAAAGUUGCCAGUUGGUAAUUUUAGGGAGGAAAGGGUGGAGGCCCCACCUUAGACUUUCUAGCUGUUUAUGUGAUGAAGGCAAAGGAAGGGGAUGAAGGUGUCUCCUCUGCGCUUGCAGCAAGGUAAGCUCUGAUAGAGCUGUCAAGCCGGGACCAGGUUCAUAUCUUUCCAGGUCAGGAUUGAUACGCAUUGGCAAAGAAGUAAAAAAGUGAUCUGUCAAGUAUAUUCGAGAGCAGGGUUUCACCUUUAAGUCAGUGGUUAAUGUGAAUACACAUUUUAUUAAACCCAUUCAGCUUUCAGGCCUUUGAUUUAACAUUCUCCUCUUAUUCCCCAGUGAUGCUUUCAUUGGCUGACUGUAGAAGGUGAAAACAUUGCAAUGCAGCACUGCGUAAUGCUGCCGUUCCAGCUAUCAUCGCACCCAGUCUCCUAGUGGUGUUUUAUGUGCAUUUUAAUUUAAUUUCUCUUAUCUGACUCGGUGCCAGCUCUCUCACAGAACAGGGCAUGAUGGAUGAGUUUCAUUAGAUGUGCAGUAUUUUUCUUCCCUCUCUCUGUUCCUGUUUCUCAAGCACUUCAACUUCUUGGGUUGGCUAAUGAUAACAGGACCUCCUGCAUUCUGUACAGGAGAUUCAAGACUUGGGGAAGCAACCUGGAAUGCACUUGAAGGCUGAAAACUGCUCUGUUGGAAAUGCUGAGCGGAAUCAAAGAGAGAAUAUAUUCUGGAACUUCAGCAUACUUCCAUUUCUCACUGCUGCAGACAGGUUUGGAUGCUCCAGUGGAUAAUGACAGAAAGACUCUUUUCACAGAUUCCCUUUCUAGGCAAAAAAAAUUGGAAUGUUUUUCUAGUAGCUCCUGAAAGAAAGGUUUCCUUUUCCAUUGUGGCUGGGUGUGCAGGGGUGCUUGUUAGGAGGACAAAUAUUGAGGCUGAUUUUUGUCAAUCUUUCACUGGCAAGUAGCAACCUACUUCUUAUUCACACUGCAAAGUCACAGCGGGGAAUGGAGCGCUCUUUGCUGCAGGCUGCACGCACGUUUCUUUGUUCUUGCAUCCAAACCCAUCAUCUUCAGAAAGCAGCUUGUGCUCGAUGUAGCUCAUUUCCUUGUGUGUGAGCUGUGGUUUAAAAGCAGCUUCCUCUUUCAACCUGUUCAACUUUUCCCCCUUGGGUUUGGGUUUUUUUUUUUUCAGAUGUUGACCUACAAGUAUGGGUCAUCAUCUAUGAGAAAAAAAGACACUGAUGGGGAGAGCCGAUAUCUGCCUCUUCCAAUGUUCAUUUCCUUGCCAAAGUAGUUUAUCUCCUAUUUACAUCCUCUGGUCCUUGUCUCCUUUCUAUUUCAGUAGCUGGUCUGACGCCUGUUUCUAAAGCAAUGCGACUGCAUCACUCGCGUAUUUGCUGCAGGAGCAUUUCCAGCACUUCAGAAAUGUCUUGGCAUCUUGUGAGUCAGCCAUCGUGUGUUCAGGAGCCGAUGUUUUCUGUUGCACUUGAUAGCUCCGUAAAGGGUGGGGAUGGCUGAGAGAAUGAGUGCCCCGAGAUGAUCAUUAGGAGCUGGAAGUGAACAAGACAAGUGCCUAAAACGGGCACCUCCAGCAGUCACACGUGAAUCACGCCCGUCCUGGCCAGGGCUGUCUGCCAGUGCCUGGAAAAGGCACCGUCGCUUUUGGGUGCUAUUUGAAGAUGUUAUUGGGCUGAACUUGAAAUGUUUCUAUGGUACAAUGCUGCAGAGAGACAGAUGUGACGCCGCUGUGUUUCAAAUGCCUCCGUGUCAGAGCAGGGGUCUGAAGUUUAAUUUCCGCAGUCCCUUUACGUGGCAUUUGUGGGCUCCGUGGCUGGGCCAAGUUCAGCUCUGGGACAGCUGAAUACCAAAGAGCUACUGACAGGUGGAGAGAAAUGUAAUGAGGAGCAAUCUGGGCGGACAGGGACGCGUAUCCUGUGACUACACGUGAAUAAUGAAAAAGCAAUUUCCGAGAGCAGAGUGAGGAGUUACAUACAGGUAUAAUGUGUUGGAGGGGUGGGGGAGAGAGAGAAAGGGAGAACUUUGGUGCUGGAGGAGAAAUCCUCCCUGACUGAGAAAACAGCCCUCAUGGGAAAGGAGCAGAACUAUUUUUUUCCAUGGGAAAUUCAAAAUGUUGGACUCCAGAAGGGAGAUAUCUUACAGAAGAGAUCCAGCCUCAGUCCCUUGAGAAGGACUAAGAGAAACUACUGUUUUUUUGUCUUUAACUGAUGAUGAUGAGAUUUUGUUAGGUUAUUUACUCCCUCCCCCAGGGACGAAACUGCUUACAUUUUAACAACCCAUGAGUACUUUGAGAAAAAAAACCUGAUAAUCUUGAUUUCCGGGCAAGAAAAGAAACGUGGUUGUGAAAACUACAGGUGAUAAGAACAAUAACUGCAAGAAAGUGCCAACACCACUGUUGUCAGCACAAAUCUAGCCUGUGCUGAGCAGCUUUUUAUUCAAAAACAGCUAUUGCAACCGUUUUUCUACUUGAUGGCUCUAAAAACCAAGAAAAGUAUCAGUUUUACAUCCUCUUUUUUUUUUUUUUUUCCUCCAGUGAUCAAACCUGGUUUACAUCUUUGGGUCACACCUAUAACAGGAACACUUCUUGCUCAUAAGGAACGUUUUUUCUAAGCUGUGUAAAUCCUUUCUCGCAUUAAUUAACCUGGAAAAUCAUUGCAAAACCUCAUAGCAGUCCUAUGUCUGUGCCAGUAAGUAAAACCAGGCCAGGAGGCAGCAUGCUAUUUAACUGCUAGUGAGUUCCCUGGUCCUGUGCAGUCACCCAGGCAGAUGAAGAAGAGAGGGAUGGAGAGAGGGGAUCUCUGGACACCACCAAGGGCUGAGUUGUCUCCACUGAUACUUUGCUUGUCCAUGAACUUCGGGUGUUCUUAGUGCAGCCGGAGCAAUGGUCCUGAGACGUGGGUUAUAGCGGCUGUUUAGUCCCAUCCCUGGAGCAAUUCCAGCAGGGCCAAGGCAAGCUGCUGGUGUUCUUGUGGGACCGGACCCAUGAUCAGAAAUGAUGCUCAGCUGUCACCCAGGGACUUGCGCUUGCAAAGUGUCUCACCUAGAAGCAGGCUGGGCAGAAGAUCAGGUGGUGGAUCCUUCAGGAUGCUCAUGUCUCCAUACAGCUCUGAUUCCUGGGGCUGGGUCAGUCUCCCCAUGCCCAGCCCCAGCUUGGCUCUGGGGUCCAGGCAGUGGAGGGACUGAGCCUACCUUUCUUCCUUACUCAUUUCUGGCCUCAUGGACCACUGUGGUCUCCUUUUUCCCUGCAGAAGUGUGUUUUCCCGGAGGGUUUUGUCUCCUUCGGUUAUUAAAUGUUUUAAGAGUUUUUGGUUGUGCUUUGGGUUUUCAUGCAGAGUAUCUUUAAGACUGGAAUUAGCGACUAUCUGGCCUGUAGGCAUCUGGUAAGGAGGGGUGGAUACAGUGGGCAAACAUUGUUUGAGGGCUCCAGGAGGGGCCUGGGGAGCAGCCAACGUGUUUUGUGAGAU